CCUACGGGUGGCUGCAGUGGGGAAUAUUGGACAAUGGGGGGAACCCUGAUCCAGCCAUGCCGCGUGUGUGAAGAAGGCCCUCGGGUUGUAAAGCACUUUCAGUGAGGAAGAACGCCUGGUGGUUAAUACCCAUCAGGAAAGACAUCACUCACAGAAGAAGCACCGGCUAACUCCGUGCCAGCAGCCGCGGUAAUACGGAGGGUGCGAGCGUUAAUCGGAAUUACUGGGCGUAAAGCGCGCGUAGGUGGCUUGAUAAGCCGGUUGUGAAAGCCCCGGGCUCAACCUGGGAACGGCAUCCGGAACUGUCAAGCUAGAGUGCAGGAGAGGAAGGUAGAAUUCCCGGUGUAGUGGUGAAAUGCGUAGAGAUCGGGAGGAAUACCAGUGGCGAAGGCGGCCUUCUGGACUGACACUGACACUGAGGUGCGAAAGCGUGGGUAGCAAACAGGAUUAGAUACCCGGGUAGUC
rnacentral:rRNA from 1 species